CGAUAUUCCAACAACUGGAUUUUGACAACACUUUUGACAACGCCACGUGGCGCGUUGUACUUGGUUGGGUUUGAAUUUAUUUUCUUAAUAAGAAAAUCUGCUUUGGAUGAGUUUCCCAAACUGCCCUGCUUCAUUUUUCACUUAAUCCUUUGUCCAGAAUAGUUGGUGCUCAUUGCUAGGGAUUUCUUUUUCAAAUUUUCGUUGUCUCUCCUUCACACAGUCGUUCUUCUCUGCCACACCACUCUCGUUCUCUGUUCCAUAACUCUCGUUCUCCUUCACACUCUCUUUUUCGUCUUCCAUUUUCAGUUUUGUUUGUGGAGUUCGUGGUCUGCUUUAACCGGUCUCAAUGGAAGGGUUUUUUGAAGUUUGUGGUUCUUUGUUCGUUAUUUUGUACAAUGGCUUCGACCCCUGACAUUGGUUCCUCCAACAAGAUGGCAGUUGUUUGUUCGACAUUCAAUGAAAACCAAGUUUAUUGGUGGUUUGAAGAAAUGUUGACUGACAAACAGAAGGCUAGUAUUUCACAAACUCAUUUCAAUGGUUUUUAGAACUAAAUGAUGACAUUAAGCUUGGUAGGAAUAUUCUGAGCGAUUUAUUAGAAAGGUGGGAUGAUGAGAGGGUGGGUUUUUGGUUUGGAGAAAAAUUUGUGGAAUUAAAGGAAGUAGAUGUACGUUUAAGCUUAGGGCUUGGGUUUUUUG